rnacentral:lncRNA from 11 species
GAAAGGGAAAGGUAUUCUCAAGCUAUGGAUCGUGAAAUCUGUGGUUACAGAGGGCCAUUUGUAUGUUGUUUCCAACCAGAUCAUUUUCAGACGUCAUACGGCCUCAACAGAUGGGAUGCUUUUGAGUAGCAUAUGCCGUUGACCUUCCCCUUUGUGAUGGAAUCCACCGACUCCCAUCC